ACAUGCCUUUAAUCCCAAUACAUGGUUGGCAGAGGCUGGAGGAUCUCAAUGAACUUUUGUUUAAUUAAAAAUUUUAUUUUAUGUAUAUGGGUGUUUUGCCUGCAUUUAUAUCUGUGCACCAUAUGCAUUCCUGGUGCCAGUGAAGGCCAGGCGAGGGCAUUGGAUCCCCUGGAGCUGGGUUUACAGACAGUGGUGAGCCACUACCAUAUGGAUUCUGGGAUUCAAACCCUGGUGAAGAAGAGCGGCAAGUACUCUCCAAUGCUGUGGAACAAUCUCUCUGUACACUGUGAAGAUGAGCCAGUCUGGUUGGUUUAAUAAAAAACUGAAAGGCCAAUAGCUAGGCAGAAUUUCCAGGCACAGAGAGAGGAUGUUGGGAAGAAGCAAGGGAGAUGCCAGGGGAUGCAGAGCAAGCAGGCGGGUACUAUGGAGAUGAGGUCAUUAAAGUCAAAGGCAGAAAGUAAAUUUGUAGAAAUGGGUUGAUUUAAGUUAUAACUGCUAGUCAGAAAUGAUGGAGGAGGGUCAUCUGUCUAUCUGUUGCUUUCAUUGGUUAAUUAAUAAAGAAAGCUGCUUGGCCUGAUAGGGCAGAAUUUAGAUAGGUGGAGUAGACCGAAUAGAAUGCUGGGAAGAAGGGAAGUGAGCAGACACUACAGCUCUCCUGUCCAAGAUGGACGCAGGUUAAGAUCCUCCCUGGUAAGGCACCACCUCGUGGUGCUACACAGAUUUUUAGAAAUGAGUUAAGCAAGAUAUGAGAAUUAGCCAAGAAGAGGCUAGAACUAAUGGGCCAAGCAGUGUUGAAAAGAAUACAGUUUCCGUGUAAUUAUUUCAGGUAAAGUUAGCCAGUGGCUGCGAGCCAUGCGUGACAGGAAGCGGCCCACAGCUCCUUCUACACAGAAACAAGCCUAAGCCGUCAGUCAAACGUCCACAAUUAAUAAUAAGUCUCUGUGUCAUUAUCGGGGAGCCAGCAGUCCCAAUGAAGAAGUCCAGCUACACUCCAGCCCUUCCGUAAACUCUAUGAUGCAGAGGGCUAGGAGCAGGAGCGAUUUCCUUCUCCAACUGAGCUGGUGUUUCCUGUUUAUUUUGGAGAGAUGCCUGAAUAAGGGCCUUGAUGCCCUGCUCUUAAUCCCCAGAUGCUUAUCAUGGCAAAGAAGCUCUGCAGAGGGCACUGAACUCAGGGGCUAGAGAUGAUCCUGGGUCUUCAUAAGAACCUCAGAAGGAAGCAGGAGAGCCAGGGUGGGGCGGAGAUGCCUCAGUGGAAGCAGACGGUUGAGAGGCUGUUACUGGCCUUGAAAAUGGACAGAAGAUGGGCCCGAGAGAUGGAAGACUGGGAAAUAGGUCCUUCGGGACCCUUCCUCAGGAGAGCCUGACAACUCGAGCCUGACAACUCCGCACUCUCGGUCUGCUGACAUGCCCAGAGAAUGAUGAAGAUCUUCUGUGUUAAGCCCUGCUGGGGACCCAGAACAAAGGACGUGUUAGGCAGACACUACUACCCAACUGUCCUCCCAACUCUACAUGUUCAUCAAAAACACAAACAGAACUGGAGCCAGAUGUGGUGCUGGACAUUUAAUCCCUGUGCUGGAGACAGAGGCAGACAGAUCCCUGUGAGCUCGAGGACAGCCUGGUCUACACGGUGAGUUCCAGGUGAGCCGAGGCUACUUAGUGAAACUUUGAUUCAAACUAAACAUAUAAAAGGAAUUCCAGGU